rnacentral:lncRNA from 1 species
AUGACGGGACCGCGCGUCACCGCCCCGCCCCGCCNNNNNNNNNNNNNNNNNNNNCCCGCCGGCGGCCGCUCGGGGCAGCAGGACGGGCCGUCCCCUCCUCGCCUGGGAAUUUUGGACUCGGAGCCUCGGGCAGGCUGGAAAUCCCGGAGCACUCCCGCCCGCCUCCCCCGGGCGAGAACGCCCGGGCGCUGCCUGGAAGCUCCGGGGCGCCAGAUGUGCCGUAUUUUCCCCUCGGGAGUACGGAGGGAUUUGCCCCACGCCGUCCCCGGCCGCCUGUCCCUCUACGCGUGCCAGUCCCGGCUGCGCUGCCAUGAGCCCUUGCCCAGCAAGACCUGCAGUGCAGCACGGCUGAAAAGACCCGCCCGCGUCGUAAUUCCCCGCAAAAACCCCUGGUUUCCCCAAGAUCCCCACCCCACAUCAUCCCAUCCCGCACAGAGAUGUGUCUCCCGCACUGGGAUGUCGUCUCCAAGCCCCUAUGGACUCAAACAGGAGUCGCCCCAAAGUGCUGUCCCCAAGCCCACUGGCCCCCCCCGGAUAAGGGAAUCUCUCCAGGACGCUGCAGAGUCAGCAGCCCCUUGCAGGCACCCAAAGGGGUGCUUUCCCUCUCCCGAAUUUCAACUUACGCAGCAGCCCCUGCAUCCUUCCCGCGGAGGUGGCAAGAAAGAGGCAUUUGCUAUCCGAGUUCCCAUUGCCUCCUUCCCACUGGCUUCAAAGUGGAAGGAGCAGCCGCAGAGCUCCCUGUGGGAGCAUCUCCCACCACCCCAGCAUUCAGCACUGGAUGCUUCCCGCCGACCCCAGCAAGGCACUGCCAGCAGCAGGGGCCCACGACGCUCACACCCUCCUACUCACCGGGGAGGAAGAGGUUGGUCUCAGCAACCCGUUCAGCCCCAGCAUGGCCACAGGGACUGCCAGUACCACAGACAGGAGUUCCGCUGGGGUCAAGGUCUGCCUGACCACAGAAAAACACCGGCGACUUCUAGCAAAGGGGCAGGAUCAGGGGACAGCCUACAGGCACGCUCUGCAUUUCUUCUCACUAACCAAUGA